AUAAGGAACAAUGAUUUCCUUCCUAGAUUAGUUUUAAUAUAAAUACACAUACAGCCCACAACUCUAUUUAUUGUGUUGUGAAGCUUCAUUCAUCAUCUCUCUUACACGGCACUAAGAAGCUUAAGAAAGAAGAUGUUGCACUGUCUCAACAGUAACGCUUCGGGCUCCGAGAUGACAGUGCUAGAAAGGCAAAGGGCAACGAUCAAGUGGCAACACAACAACAAUCAUCACCAAGGAUACUCUUCUUCUUCUUCACCUUCCCCAUCUUCAUCUUCUUCAAUCUCACUUGUUCAAGUUCAGAGCAGCUCUCCUGCUUGCCUUGCUGCUGGAGCGUGGCCCAAACUCGACAACAACUUUCUCAUGGGAUUCACCUCUUCUCCUUCUUCUGGAUUCCCGCUACCUCCUCCUCCUCCUCCUACAACUUCUGCUGCUUCUUUUGAUCUAAAUUCCGCAAUCUCAAGGACUUCCAGCUGUCCACUGCCUUCUCUUGCAGAGGGGAAAGAGACUACUACUCCCAAUAACAAGAGAAAAACUGACAAGUUUCACAACACCAAGGUUGUUGCUUCAGAUAAUGAUAACAAGGACAAGAGGGUCAAAGUGGCUGCUCCCAAUGACUCAGCAACCGUAGGCAAGAAAGGCACACAAGAUUGUGGAGAUAAUUCCAACAAGGAUAAUUCAAAAGUUUCUGAGGUUCAGAAUCAGAAGCCAGAUUACAUUCAUGUCCGAGCACGCCGGGGACAAGCCACUGAUAGCCAUAGCUUAGCUGAAAGAGUUAGAAGGGAAAAAAUCAGCGAGAGAAUGAAGUUCUUGCAGGAUUUAGUGCCCGGUUGCAACAAGAUUACUGGAAAAGCUGGAAUGCUUGAUGAAAUCAUCAACUAUGUCCAGUCCCUUCAACGACAAGUUGAGUUCUUGUCAAUGAAAUUAGCUGCUGUGAACCCAAGACUUGACUUCAACAUGGAUGAUCUCUUUACCAGAGAGGUGUUUCCUGCAUGUGCUGCAAGUUUUCCUGCCAUAGAAAUGUCACCAAACAUGGCUAACCCUGCCUCUUAUCUUCACUUCAAUUCAUCACAACAAAUAGAUGCAGGGAUAAACCCUCAAGAUAUCAGUCUCCGAAGGACCAUAAGUGCCCCAGUAUCCGCGCCAGAAACCUUUCUUGAUUCGUCUUGUUUCACUCAAACUCUGCCCUCCUCAACAUGGGAAGGUGAUUUUCAAAACCUUUACAGUGUGGCUUUUGAUCAAGCAAGAGCAGCAUCCUUUCCUUCUCAGCUAUUCACAGGUAGCUAACAAAUUGUGUCAUGUCAAAAUCACUUUUCCCCCCUUAGCUUGAUAUCUUUAAAGCAGAAAGUAAAGGCAGAAGAGAGUGGAUAUUAAUGGAUGACAGAGACUUUAUAGCCCCCGGUCUACUUGAACCGAGCAAUCUAAAGAUGGAGAUGGAGAUGUAGACCUCCAAUUACUGUUGGAUGGAUUAGAUUACUAAAACGGGCCUAUUAUCAAGAUUCUUUUUCUUUGCAAGUACAUAACAUAUAUUGUUUGUAUACUGCUACGAUAGUAUAAAUAAAUAAAAUCUUAAUAUUAAUACUUUUU